AACGGCAAUUGCAGUCACAAAAGGAAUCUUCGCUUCGUCCAUUGAAUGACGCCAAAUACUGUGAAUUGCUGGUGAUAUACACAUCUUGAAAAAUCACUAAAUCAACGCCAUUUGUAUAUGCGCCAGCGUGGCAGCGUGUGGCAAACCAAACAGUGGGCUGCCCGAUGUGGUGAGAAAGAGUACUUCUCAAGAGAAAAGUUCAUAUAUGGCACGAAAGAACGUGUGGCGUGAGGGCAGCACUGUAGCGGUUUGCAGUAAUGAGCUGUGAGAUUUCAAAAUGACUUUGGUGAUGGAACCGUCAGACGAGUCUGAAGACGAUUUACACGAAUUUAGAAGGAAGAAAAGGCGCCCCGAACUGUGGAAGACGAAUGUGAUUAAACAAAAGAAGGUCUAGGGUUUGGAGCAUACCAACUGCAAAGGAAACAUUGUUCCUAGGAGGAAAACAGGUGCAGAUUGCAGAUAAAUAGUAAUACAAUAUGCCGGCGUAAAUGUUUUGGGAAGUUAUCAUUUGCUGAGAAGGAACUAUUGUUGACAGAAUUCAACAAUAUGCCCAACAAAGAUGGACAGGAUGGGUACUUGAGUGCUCACAUUCCUCCCUUCAUUCCAAAAGCAAGGAGACCACGCCUAAAUUUCAUUACCAAUCGUGGAAGGACAGUAAACUAUUGUUAUAAGGUUAAAGUUGGCUUCAAGGAAACUGUGGUAUUCAAGAAACCUUUUAGUGCACUCCAUGGCAUAACGAAACGACGAGUGGAGAGACUGUACCACUUAAGUCAAGGAGGAGUGACUUCGCCACAUGAUGGUCGUGGGUGACACCAAAACAAUUAUUCCGUUCCAGAAAAUACCAAUGUCAUGGUAGCGGAAUUCAUUGAGUCGUUUCCAGUAAGGGUAGCACAUUAUGGACGUUGUGGUAGGAAGAAGAGAUCCCUCUCAAGUUCUUUAUCUGUGAAAACCGUGUGGGAAAUCUUUCUUGAAAAAUACAACCCCGAAAUGUACAUAAUUUAUAGGUCUCAAAGUAACACUACUGACCCAGGGUUGUUCAAACCAAAGGUUCGAUAUUUUUAUUUUUAUGAUUAUUUCAAGAAUAAUUACAACUGUGGCUUUGGUCGUCCUAGAGUCGAGGUCUGUGGUGAAUGUGAAAGGCUAACAUGUAUAAUAGAAGAACAACCCUGCUACCAAGAUUGCAGCGCAAAAUGAGUUGAAACUCCAUAAGCUUUGGGCACGUCAGUUCUAUGAUAACAUGUCACGUUGUGAAAAACUGUACAAGGAGAAGAGGUGGGAGAAUCAGAAAUAAUCACAUUCAUUUUCAUGCAGAACGUACCUAUCCCAGACUUACCGGUAUGUGAUAUGUUCUAUUUGCGGCAUCCAUGGGUAUUUAUAUUUGGUAUUCAUAGAUUUUCUGAUAACAAAGCUUUCAUUUAUAUGUUUGAUGAAGUAACCGCUAAGAAAGGUCCCAAUGCAGUGGUUUCUCUCCUUAUGGAUUUCAUAACUAAACAUGUGGCUUCUAGUGUGAAAAGGUUGUAUCCAUUUUCAGAUGUCAGUACAGGACAGAAUCGGAAUCGCACAGUGGUUCAAUUUUGGUACACUUCAGUUCAUAGUGGUAGAUUUUCCAACGUUUUCCACAUGUUCCCAACCUGUGGGCAUUCCUACAAUGCCUGUGAUAGGGACUUAACGGGUAUGGAAUUACGGAAAAGGAAACAGGACACAGUGUAUACUCCCCACCAAUGGUUCACAGUACUACAGGAAGCAAGGAAACGAAUUCAUAUUGAACUAUGCACACAAGGCGCGUUUCUUGACUAUCAGAAACAUCUAGAUUCAUUUUUUAAGAAAUCUGUAACUGUGAAAGGAGAAAAAUGGAUUGUUACGCGUUACAAACUAUUUUGAGUACACUGACCAGUCAAAAUGCGUCUCUGUUUCACCCAAUAGCAGUGGAAUGUUCAAAUAUGAUUUUUGUUUGGUUAAGGCUGGGACAGUCCCCCAUUUCCAUAAUGUGCCGAGAGCAUACGUGGACGUCAUUCCAGUGAAACCUGAGAAACUGAAGGAUAUUUCACGCAUGAUUGACGUUAUCCCUUUGCAGUUUCGUGGGUAUUUUGAUAGGCAUCUAUAUCAAUGCGACAUUAACAGACUGCCUCGUUGAGAGGAUGAGUGAAUCUGGAAGUGAAGUUUGGGACAGUGAUCAAGAGUGACAAAUUUAUGAACAUAUAUCUCUGUCAAUACAAAAAUGUUUUUUUAAUAAGUAAAACGUGUGGAAU